AGUCUGGUGCCAGCAGCCGCGGUAAUUCCAGCUCCAAUAGUGUAUACUAAAGUUGCUGCAGUUAAAAAGCUCGUAGUUGGAUUUCGGUUAAUGAAAAGUUAGUCCACUUAAUAUAUAAGUGCGUACUGACGUUUUAUUUCCUUCUUUUCAGAUAUACAACUUGUUGUGUUCUGAAUCUUUUACUUUGAGAAAAUUAGAGUGUUCAAAGCAGGCGUAACCAAGCCUUUGAAUAUAUUAGCAUGGGAUAAUGGAAUAAGACUUUUUGCCUUAUUUUCGUUGGUUCUUGAGGCUAAAGUAAUGAUUAAUAGGGAUAGUUGGGGUCAUUAGUAUUAAAUUGUCAGAGGUGAAAUUCUAAGAUAUAUUAAAGACUAACUACUGCGAAAGCAUUUGACAAGGAUGUUUUCAUUAAUCAAGAACGAAAGUUGGGGGAUCGAAGAUGAUCAGAUACCGUCGUAGUCUCAACCAUAAACUAUGCCGACCAAGGAUUCGGGGGUGUUAUAUGAAUGACCCUCCGGGCACUUAUAGAGAAAUCAUAAGUAUUUGGGUUCCGGGGGGAGUAUGGUCGCAAGGCUGAAACUUAAAGGAAUUGACGGAAGGGCACCACCAGGAGUGGAAUAUGCGGUUUAAUUUGACCCAACACGGGAAAACUUACCAGGUCCAGACACAGUGAGGAUUGACAGAUUGAGAGCUCUUUCUUGAUUUUGUGGGUGGUGGUGCAUGGCCGUUUCUAGUUGGUGGAGUGAUUUGUCUGGUUAAUUCCGUUAACGAACGAGACCUUAACCUAUUAAAUAGUUACACAUACUUGGGAUUCGUCCUAAUAGUAUGUGGUUAACUUCUUAGAGGGACUCUUCACGUAAAGAGUGAAUGGAAGUUUGAGGCAAAAACAGGUCUGUGAUGCCCUUAGAUGUUCUGGGCUACACGCGUGUUACACUGAUAUAUUCAACAAGCAUUAUAAUUCCUUACCCGAUGGGGUUGGGUAAUCUUUUAAAUGUAUAUCGUGAUGGGGAUAGACCAUUGUAAUUAUUGGUCUUGAACGAGGAAUUCCUAGUAAGUGCAAGUCAUUAGCUUGCGCUGAUUACGUCCCUGCCCUUUGUACACACCGCCCGUCGCUCCUACCGAUGAAUGGUCCGGUGAGGACUCAGGAUGACCGUGGAUUUUGGUAUAAUAUACCAUGCCAUUGUUUGUCAGAAUCUGUUCAAACCUUAUCAUUUAAAGGAAGGAGAAGUCGUAACAAGGUUUCCGUAGGUGAACCUGCGGAAG
rnacentral:rRNA from 1 species